rnacentral:rRNA from 1 species
UGGGGAAUAUUGCACAAUGGGCGCAAGCCUGAUGCAGCCAUGCCGCGUGUGUGAAGGAGGCCUUCGGGUUGUAAAGCACUUUCAGCGAGGAGGAAGGUGGUGGACUUAAUACGUUCAUCAAUUGACGUUACUCGCAGAAGAAGCACCGGCUAACUCCGUGCCAGCAGCCGCGGUAAUACGGAGGGUGCAAGCGUUAAUCGGAAUUACUGGGCGUAAAGCGCACGCAGGCAGUUUGUUAAGUCAGAUGUGAAAUCCCCGGGCUCAACCUGGGAACUGCAUUUGAAACUGGCAAGCUAGAGUCUCGUAGAGGGGGGUAGAAUUCCAGGUGUAGCGGUGAAAUGCGUAGAGAUCUGGAGGAAUACCGGUGGCGAAGGCGGCCCCCUGGACGAAGACUGACGCUCAGGUGCGAAAGCGCGGGGAGCAAAACAGGAUUAGAUACCCUGGUAGUCCACGCUGUAAACGAUGUCGAUUUGGAGGUUGUGCCCUUGAGGCGUGGCUUCCGGAGCUAACGCGUUAAAUCGACCGCCU